AACGUAGGUUCCGAGCGUUAUCCGGAUUUACUGGGCGUAAAGCGCGUUCAGGCGGUUUGGCAAGUCGGGCGUGAAAUCUCUCGGCUCAACCGGGAGAGGUUGUCCGAUACUGCUGGACUUGAGGGCAGUAGAGGGUGGUGGAAUUCCGGGUGUAGUGGUGAAAUGCGUAGAUAUCCGGAGGAACACCAGUGGCGAAAGCGGCCACCUGGACUGUACCUGACGCUGACACGCGAAAGCUAGGGGAGCGAACGGG
rnacentral:rRNA from 1 species